UACAGAGGAGCCAAGCGUUGUCCGGAUUGACUGGGCGUAAAGCGCACGCAGGCGGAUACGCGCGUGGGGUGUGAAAUCUGGCCGCUUAACGGCCAGGCGCCAUCCCAUACGGCGUGUCUGGAGCUGUGCAGAGGUCGGUGGAAUUGCCGGUGUAGUGGUGAAAUGCGUAGAGAUCGGCAGGAACACCCAGGGGGAAACCAGCCGACUGGGCAUCUGCUGACGCUGAGGCGCGAAAGCUAGGGGAGCAAACGGGG
rnacentral:rRNA from 1 species